GACGGAAACCAGAGAUCAAAAGCCCCAUUCUCACUGUUCAAAUAACUCAGCCUUCAAGGGAAAGAGGAAGAGGAUGAAUGUCGGAGAAGCAGUUCCAGAGAAGACAGUAACAAGUACCAGCAGGAUGAUGAAUGAAAGAAUACAUGCCCAAGACAGCACAACAACUGGUAAGAAGACUGUCAAGUUAAGCAGCUGAAACACAGAGCCCCUUUGGUGCCUGCCCUUCCUUACAGAAAACAAACAAAAUAGUCUCAGAUAAUCACAGCCCUGAAAGAAAGAAGUAACUGGGGAGCGUAAAUGUUCAUGUCAG